UACAGAGGGUGCGAGCGUUGUUCGGAAUUAUUGGGCGUAAAGGGCGCGUAGGCGGUGCGGUAAGUCACCUGUGAAAUCUCCUGGCUCAACUGGGAGCUUGCAGGCGAAACUGCCGUGCUGGAGUGUGGGAGAGGUGUGUGGAAUUCCUGGUGUAGCGGUGAAAUGCGUAGAGAUCAGGAGGAACACCAGUGGCGAAAGCGGCGCACUGGACCACAACUGACGCUGAAGCGCGAAAGCUAGGGGAGCAAACAGG
rnacentral:rRNA from 1 species